rnacentral:rRNA from 1 species
UACGUAGGGGGCGAGCGUUGUCCGGAUUCAUUGGGCGUAAAGCGCGCGUAGGCGGCUUCGCAAGUCGGCCGUGAAAUCUCCGGGCUCAACUCGGAGGGGUCGGGCGAGACUGCGAGGCUCGAGGUGGGCAGAGGGCAGUGGAAUUCCGGGUGUAGCAGUGAAAUGCGUAGAGAUCGUAAGGAAGGCCAGUGGCGAAGGCGAGUUCCUGGACAGUUACUGACGCUGAGGCACGAAGGCCAGGGGAGCAAACGGG